AAAUAAUUUUUUUUCAGAAUUUUAAAAUGCAAAAAGGUAUUUUUGAACCAAUUAAAACAAAGUACAAAAGAUAAAAUUCCAGAAAAAUAAAAAAUCAAGAAAAUAAAAUAUGGAAAAAUAAAAAUGAGAUGAAGAAAAAUAAAAGAGAAUUUUAGAAAUUAUUUUUGGAUUUUUUUGAUAAAAAUGAAAUUACUACAAAUUUUUAAA
rnacentral:lncRNA from 1 species